rnacentral:rRNA from 1 species
CCUACGGGAGGCAGCAGUGGGGAAUAUUGGGCAAUGGGCGCAAGCCUGACCCAGCAACGCCGCGUGAAGGAAGAAGGCUUUCGGGUUGUAAACUUCUUUUCUGAGGGACGAAGAAAGUGACGGUACCUCAGGAAUAAGCCACGGCUAACUACGUGCCAGCAACCGCGGUAAUCCGUAGGUGGCAAGCGUUAUCCGGAUUUAAUGGGUGGAAAGGGCGUGUAGGCGGGAAAGCAAGUCAGAUGUGAAAACUCAGGGCUCAACCCUGAGCCUGCAUUUGAACCUGUUUUGCUUGAGUGCUGGAGAGGAAAGCGGAAUUCCGGGUGUAGCGGUGAAAUGCGUAGAUAUACGGAGGAACACCAGUGGCGAAGGCGGAUUGCUGGACAGUAACUGACGCUGAGGCGCGAAAGCGUGGGGAGCAAACAGGAUUAGAUACCCCUGUAGUC